AGAGAUGGCUGAGUGGUUGAUAGCUCCGGUCUUGAAAACCGGUAUAGUUCUAGGAACUAUCGAGGGUUCGAAUGCCUCUCUCUCCU
rnacentral:tRNA from 1 species